GGGAAUGUAGCUUAGUGGUAGAGCACUUGCCUAGCAUGCAAGCAUGAAGCUCUGGGUUCAAUUCCUCAGUACCA
rnacentral:tRNA from 1 species